GCCUUGGUAGCUCAAUUGGUAGAGUAUAAGACACUUACAGCCCCUCUGACCGGGUAAGAGUCUUGAGGUUUGCGGAUUCAAUUCCUGCGUGAGGCU